rnacentral:rRNA from 1 species
UACGUAGGGGGCGAGCGUUGUCCGGAUUUAUUGGGCGUAAAGAGCUCGUAGGCGGUUUGGUAAGUUGGAUGUGAAAUCUCCAGGCUCAACUUGGAGGGGUCAUUCGAUACUGCCAUGACUAGAGUUUCGGUAGGGGAGUGUGGGAAUUCCUGGUUGGAGCGGUUGAAAAUGCGCAGAUAUCAAGGAGGAACACCCGUAGCGAAGGCGGCACUCUGGGG